AGUAUUAGUGGAUGAAACCUUGAAACAAUCUUAGGACACCUUCUAGCAUUGCUUAUUUACCUGUGAAUGAGAAAGAAUUUAUAUUCUGAUGAUACA
rfam:Triticum aestivum genome assembly, contig: Triticum_aestivum_CS42_TGACv1_scaffold_499694_6BL